UCUUUCCUGGCAGAUGGUGGAGCUGAGUGGAUGGACGAGCAGCCAUAGCACAGGGAUCCAAAGCUCUGACUGGGAAGCUGCAGGACCACAUGUCAGUUUCCUCACAGCAGCCGAGCCUGCCCAUGCCAGGGAAGCCUGGGGAGCAUUCCUUCACCUGCACCCCCCAUCAGAGACCAGGGGGCCCCAUUUUGGCUCCUGUGGACAGCAGAGCUAUUGAAACGUUUGUAAAAUAGCAGAGGGUUCCAGAUGGGAGAAGCCAUUGUUCAAAGUCCAGACCACCCAGCGGGCAUGUCAAAUAACCAAGGACAGAAAUUAUAUUCCUCUGUAGAAUCUUGUAAUGGUUUUCAGUUAUUAAAGGACCAAGAAGAUAUUUACU